rnacentral:rRNA from 1 species
UACGAGGGGGGCAAGCGUUGUUCGGAAUUAUUGGGCGUAAAGAGCUCGUAGGCGGUGUGUCACGUCGGCCGUGAAAACCUGCAGCUUAACUGUGGGCGUGCGGUCGAUACGGGCAUCACUGGAGUUCGGCAGGGGAGACUGGAAUUCCUGGUGUAGCGGUGAAAUGCGCAGAUAUCAGGAGGAACACCGGUGGCGAAGGCGGGUCUCUGGGCCGAUACUGACGCUGAGGAGCGAAAGCGUGGGGAGCAAACAGG